rnacentral:rRNA from 1 species
UACGAAGGUGGCAAGCGUUGUUCGGAUUCACUGGGCGUACAGGGUGUGUAGGCGGUUUGGUAAGCCUUCUGUUAAAGCUUCGGGCCCAACCCGGAAAGCGCAGAGGGUACUGCCAGGCUAGAGGACGGGAGAGGAGCGCGGAAUUCCCGGUGUAGCGGUGAAAUGCGUAGAGAUCGGGAGGAAGGCCGGUGGCGAAGGCGGCGCUCUGGACCUCUUCUGACGCUGAGGUGCGAAAGCGUGGGGAGCAAACAGG